UGAUGAACAACGUAAGUUGGAAGAAGGAUUAUCCAAAUUUGCUGAUGAACCCAGUAUUAUGAGGUAUAUCAAAAUUGCUACCACAAUGCGUGAUAAAACUGUUCGUGAUGUUGCACUAAGGUGUAAGUGGAUGGCG